CGUGUCGUUUCCUGCCUUUGUGCGAACCGGUGAAGACCUUUGCUCUGACCAGUGGACGAUUAACAGACCCUUGCGGUCUGUCGUGGGGCAGACAGCCGGAAGACGGAAGGGCGAAUCAGUUGUUCUACAAAUAAUGAUUCACGGGAAAGUCUUCAGAGCAGGAAGGGUAGACUGAGUAAAAGUGAACAUGUGCUGGAAGCAGAAACGUCAGGAUUGCCCCAGCCGGUGCCAGUAACAUCAUGGAAAAGACAGGGCUCACAGCCUGAUCCAAGAACAUCAGAAGCAAGAUAGGCACCUGCUAGAAAAAGAAGUGAAGCUAGUCACUUCGCAAAGAAAACAAAAGUUUGUGAUUUAUAUCGCAACAUGCUGUCUUUUCAAUAUGAAUGCAACAAGAAGCAUGUCUGACAAAUUUGUUUAGCCAUGAAAGUGGCUAAAUCUGCAGAAAGUUAUUGGAAUGCUUCCAUCUUUGUAUAAGCAUUCCCUGCUGAAUAUGAACAGGUGACUUGUGAAACUAGUGACAUCUUGUUCACCGCCCCUACCUCACCAUUUAGAACAUGUGAAACAUGGUGAGUUCAUUUUGUUUAAAACCUGUGAGUUUGUUAUUAGUAUCUAAAGGCAGAGAGAAAAUUUGCUUGCAAAUGAAUAUUUUCAAGAAUCUCAAGAAAUAUUCUAACUUUUAAAAUAUACUUUAUUUCAUCUCAAAACAAUCCUGAACAAACAUCAUCCACAGCUCAGAUGAUAUAUAGCAGCUGGUUGAAAGCAUAUAACCAUUUAGUAGCUAUGCAAACCUGUGUUUUUAAAUUCUUUGUGUGUUCACAGAGUUCUGUGAGUCUGCAACACAAACUGUCUUGAAUUAUGUUAAAACAAUGCUAGAUAUGUAAUGUUGGUGUGAUGACCAGCAAAGGAAAUUCAUACUACAAUGUGUGUACAUGGACACAUUAACAGUGUGUUGCAAUGCUUAAUUGCUAUGAAGAAACUGGAAAUUUUAUUUGAAGUCACUAGGUGAUGUGUACACCAUGUGACAUUUCUGGAGAUAUUUCUGUGUACGUUCAACAUUGCCAUUUGAUGACACAAAAGUGCUCAGGUAACAGCACUGCUGUACUUUGACACAAGUGGUCAAAAAGCAUGUUCUAGUUCAUGACCUCAUCUGUUAACUCACUGGACACUGGCAGUUUAUUGUGUAAUUCUGACCACUAUUUCAUUAUUGUGCAGUGACCACAGUUGUCAUGAUGACCGUUGUUGUAUUCAGGACCUAAUGUGUUCUCUUCAGGGUCAGUUAAACUUUCUGAACAUUAUAGCCUCAUUUUGUUUUUUGUAAUGCUGAUGAUUAAAGUAUGUGUUUGUGGUGCCAUUUAAGGAAAUCAUGUUACUGUAAAUUGGAACUUCAUUUUUAUAGUUGUUUAGUGGACAUCUCGCUUUAUUUUAGCCUAUGGAUACUUUACUGAUCAAAUUUUUACAUAAAAAUGGUAAGGAUGUUAAAACGAGUUUUCUCAGUUUUAUGCCUAUUUUUUAAUUAAAAGAAGUUCUCAUUAUAUAUCUAAGGCAACUCAACCAGAGCUUCAGAACAAAAGCAAAAGCUGAAAAAGAGAAUGAAAUACCAAUCAACAAUAUUCUGAAUGACAGACAGUAAUUUAAGAAAAGAAUCAUAACUAUCAGCAUAGUUUCUUGACUUAGAUGGUUGUUGGAGUUGUGUGGUAACGAGAAAUAAACUUGCUGAAAGAUUCUCUGUCAUGAUGCAGCAAAAUUAAGGUAUUGCAUUUGCUCUGUGAUGUUUUUGGAUCAGUUUUUGCACUUUUCAGCAUGACAAUCUUGGUAAGACUGUUGUGGCAUAUCACUUGGCCAAACCACGACAGCUUCCACUUCUUUAUUGUGGGAAAAGCUUUUAGAGAUCAGACAUAGUGACCAGUUCCCUCCACAAGAAGAUAGUAGUCAUGUAUCAAGUGCAUAUAAAUGUUCAGUAGUCUCUAGAACAGUGGUCUCAAACUCAUAUUAGCAUGUGGGCCGCAGUGGAAAGUAACAGCCAGUCAGCGGGCCGCACCACGAAAAGAAAAUGUUUUUUCAUUAAAUUUUACGAACACUACUGUCA